UACAGAGGGUGCGAGCGUUAAUCGGAAUUACUGGGCGUAAAGCGCGCGUAGACGGUUUUGUAAGUCAGAUGUGAAAAUCCCUGGGCUCAACCUGGGAACUGCAUUUGAGACUGCAUGGCUAGAGUAUCGAAGAGGGGAAGUGGAAUUUCCGGUGUAGCGGUGAAAUGCGUAGAUAUCGGAAGGAACACCAGUGGCGAAAGCGACUUCCUGGUCGAAUACUGACGUUCAUGUGCGAAAGCGUGGGGAGCAAACAGG
rnacentral:rRNA from 1 species